rnacentral:tRNA from 1 species
AGUUAAUUAGCUUAAUUAAGCAUUUGUUUUGAAAACAAAAGAUAGAAAUUUAAUUUUCUAUUAACUU